CUCCUCCUCCUCCUUCGCUGAAUCAACGGUGGCUGCUCGAAUUCCCUCUGUUCCGAUCAAAGUUUCCAUCUUUCGUGCACGGCUUGAGUCCGGUGAGCGCGAGAGAUGGGUGGCUCGAUGACAUUGCUUCUAUUGCUUCUCGCGAUGAUAGGAUUGGCAGGCGCUCGAGUGCGCGUCUACAACUGGGACGUGAGGCGCGAGCUGAAAUCGCCGAGCUCAUACAAGAAGCAGGUCGUCACCAUCAACAGAGAGUCCCCGGGCCCGACCAUCCAGGCGGGACGGGGAGACAGAGUUUUCGUCAGAGUCACCAACAGGUUGGAGGAGAAUCUCGCCAUCCAUUGGGACGGAACCCGACAGAUUAAAAGUCUAGGGAGCGAUGGAACAGAGGCCAUCAAUCAAAGGCCAAUUUUUCCUGGAGAAACUUUCACCUAUCGUUUCAUUGCCGAUCGGCUUGGAAAAUCUCCGUACUACUCCUAUUACAGAACGCAAACAGUGGAUGGACUGUAUGGGUUUGUCGAUGUUUUGCCGCCGUACAACAUGACCGAGCCAUCCGCUUGCGAUUAUGGCAAGAGCAUCAUCCUUGACGACCAGUACUACAAAAGCUAUUACGAUUGGGCAGCGGAGCCUGAGUCCCUGCUGAUUCCUGGGAAGGGAAAGUUUGAUUGCGCUGAAUCUACCACUCGUGAUGCGAUCAAUCCUCAAUAUUCACACUGGUGGGUCGACCCUGGUAAAACGUAUUGCCUCAAUAUUUCAAGUGUGACCACUCAAUCUACUCUCAGCUUUCAGAUUGAGGGUCACAACCUUACUGUUGUUGAAGCAGAUGGGCACUAUGUAGAGCCAAGCCUGAUCGUCUACUCGGGCAAGAAAUACUCUGUCAAGAUCAAAACCGAUCAAGACCCGUCGAGAAAUUACCGUAUCACGACUAACAUUGUUGGCCGGAACGCCACUACCACAACCCCUCUUGGUCUGGCCAUGCUCAGUUACUCCUCACCCACUGGUCCGAUUUGGAAUGGCGUCACACCUCAGUUAGUUCAGAGCCUAGCGAACAAAGCCCACCAAGGGUAUACCCAAUUUUUCAUUGGGCACACAUGUUGAACAUUUGUUCCAGUUUUCAAACAUCUUCUAGGAAGAGGAGAUUGCUUCUAUUUUGGAGGACGCUGCAUGCUGCAGAGCAUAUAGGCAUAGGAUGGCAAAAAGAGAAGCAGCAGAAUUGUGGCCAUCAUGAAUGAAAAACUACAAAAGAAACAAAGCCCUGCAGUAUUGGAUGCAAAAUGCAAUGUUGGAUGAAUUGUUCCAGUUUUGAAACAAUCCUAGGAAGAGGAGAUAACUUCUAUUUCGAAGGACACUGUUCGGUUUGAUGCUGCAGAGCAUAUAGGCAUAGGAUUGUAAAAAGAGAAGCAACAGAAUUGUGGCCAUCAUGAAUGAAAAACUACAAUAGAAGCAGAGCCCUGCAAUGUUGGAUGCGAAAAUCAUACCUUUUUUUUUCCUUUUGGGAUUAGGAAUCACAGUUAGUGCAGCUCCUCUAGUGACCUAUCUUGAAAUUAUCCUCAAAAGGACUGGGGGGCAGUUGAUGGACAUCGACUUGCUAGGUACCAUAUGAUGUUGGCAUUUCUAUUGAUGCAAGUGUAGCUGAUCAGAAGAUGGGCCAAAGGCUAAUUUUGUUUUCUUGGAGCAUCCUUCCGAUUCAUAGAUUGCUGACUUUCAUCCCGCACAGCUCCCAAGUGAUACAAGAAAGAACUCAUCUUAUUUCCUUUUUGAUUACCUUCCUCGCGUAUGUAUAAGACCGAAUCCAUUUGAUGUUUAAAAAGGAUUACUAAUUGUUAACUUUUUGAGGAAUUCUUCA